rnacentral:rRNA from 1 species
AUACGGAGGGUGCAAGCGUUGUUCGGAAUCACUGGGCGUAAAGGGCGCGCAGGCGGUUUGGUAAGUCAGAUGUGAAAGCCCACGGCUCAACCGUGGAAGUGCAUUUGAAACUGUCAGACUUGAGUACUAGGGGAAAGUGGAAUUCCCGGUGUAGAGGUGAAAUUCGUAGAUAUCGGGAGGAAUACCGGUGGCGAAGGCGACUUUCUGGCUAGAUACUGACGCUGAGGCGCGAAAGCGUGGGGAGCAAACAGGAUUAGAAACCCCAGUAGUCC